UUGCUCACUUCAGCAGCACAUAUACUAAAAUUGAAAUGAUACAGAAAAGAUUAAUGUGGCAGCUGUGCAAGGAUAAUGUGCAAAUUUGUGAAGUUUCAUAUUAAAAAUUUGU